rnacentral:rRNA from 1 species
GUAGGGAAUAUUGCACAAUGGGCGCAAGCCUGAUGCAGCAACGCCGCGUGCCCGAUGAAGGCCUUCGGGUCGUAAAGGGCUUUUCGGAGAGAUGAGGAAGGACAGUAUCUCCGGAAUAAGGAUCGGCUAACUACGUGCCAGCAGCCGCGGUAAAACGUAGGAUCCGAGCGUUAUCCGAAUUCACUGGGCGUAAAGCGCGUGCAGGCGGUUUGUUAAGUUGGAUGUGAAAUCUCCCGGCUCAACUGGGAGGGGACGUUCAAAACUAGCAGACUUGAGGACGGUAGAGGGAGGUGGAAUUCCCGGUGUAGUGGUGAAAUGCGUAGAUAUCGGGAGGAACACCAGUGGCGAAAGCGGCCUCCUGGACCGUACCUGACGCUCAGACGCGAAAGCUAGGGGAGCGAACGGGAUUAGAUACCCCUGUAGUCC